AAGUCGCCCCAGUUGGGGAAGGGCUUGAAUCUUGCCAAAAGGUUUACAAGACUGAUAGGCAUUUAAAAGUGAAAGCAGUGUAGAGUCUGCUUGGGAUUCAUGAGCAGAGCUAUGAAAGAUGAAAGAAAUGAGGCAUAGAAAAAUUAAGCAAGUUCCCCAGGAUUGCACACCUGGUAUAGAUGAUGGCACUAUGAUUUAAACUCUAACUCAAGAAUUCUUCUCUUCAUGAUCCCGUUCUGCCUCACCAGUGGAUUGACAGAUGUCAAUCUCACUCCAGAUGCUUCCAUAUCAAGAGCUGAACAUAUCAGAACAUUGAAAAGAAACAUUAUUUUACACAAUAUAUUCCCUGUUUACUCUUAACACAGAAACUGUCCUUUGGGGCCCAAAGACAAAUGGAAUUGCUGUGCCUGAAUAUCAUUGCUUUCACAGACUGAUGGAAACCAUAAAAGCCGAGAUACAAAAUGUGACCUGUGCCUUUGACCCAGAUACCAUUCUUUACUGGGAAGAACAGCAAGAAGAGCCGUGGGUUUCUGAGAAUGGGCGCUGCAGUGUCUCCUUUGUCUCUGCCUCAUAUUGUCCUCCUCUCAAUGAGAAGGGCGAGGUGGCAAGAUCUCUCAGCUUAGUCACAAAGGGUCUCUUUAAAACCAGUCCUUCAUUUUUUAAGCUCAAAAUCAAUGGAAGAAAUCACACGAAGAUCGAUACUUUCAACUCCAUAAAAAUUAAAACCUGCUCUAUGUCAAAGCUCCACACAACCCAAAUUAAAGGCAAAGAGUAAAUGGAGAGAAAUAUUCGCUUCAGCUAUGAGGG